UCAGAUUGAACGCUGGCGGCGUGCUUAACACAUGCAAGUCGAGCGGUAACGCGGGAGCAAUCCUGGCGACGAGCGGCGAACGGGUGAGUAAUGCUUCGGAAUCUACCUUGUAGUGGGGAAUAACUAGCCGAAAGGUUAGCUAAUACCGCAUACGACCUACGGGUGAAAGCAGGGGAUCGCAAGACCUUGCGCUAUUAGAUGAGCCGAAGUCGGAUUAGCUAGUUGGUAGGGUAACGGCCUACCAAGGCGACGAUCCGUAGCUGGUCUGAGAGGACGACCAGCCACACUGGGACUGAGACACGGCCCAGACUCCUACGGGAGGCAGCAGUGGGGAAUAUUGGACAAUGGGCGAAAGCCUGAUCCAGCGACGCCGCGUGUGUGAAGAAGGCCUGCGGGUUGUAAAGCACUUUUAGUGGGGAUGAAAAGUCUAGGGCUAAUACCCCUGGAUCUUGACCUAACCCACAGAAAAAGCACCGGCUAACUCUGUGCCAGCAGCCGCGGUAAUACAGAGGGUGCAAGCGUUAAUCGGAAUUACUGGGCGUAAAGCGUGCGUAGACGGUUAUGUAAGUUAGGUGUGAAAGCCCCGGGCUCAACCUGGGAAUUGCAUUUAAGACUGCAUAGCUAGGGUGCGGAAGAGGGAAGCGGAAUUUCCGGUGUAGCGGUGAAAUGCGUAGAUAUCGGAAGGAACAUCAGUGGCGAAAGCGGCUUCCUGGUCCAGCACCGACG
rnacentral:rRNA from 1 species